rnacentral:misc_RNA from 1 species
AGCAGCCGCGGUAAUUCCAGCUCCAAUAGCGUAUAUUAAAGUUGUUGCAGUUAAAAAGCUCGUAGUUGAACUUCAGACCUGGCUGGAUGGUCUGCCUAACGGUAUGUACUGUCCGGCUGGGCCUUACCUCUUGGUGAGCCGGCAUGCCCUUCACUGGGUGUGUCGGGGAACCAGGACUUUUACCUUGAAAAAAUUUAGAGUGUUUAAAGCAAGCUAACGCUUGAAUACAUUAGCAUGGAAUAAUGAAAUAGGACGUUCGAUCCUAUUUUGUUGGUUUCUAGGAUUGACGUAAUGAUUAAUAGGGAUAGUUGGGGGCAUUAGUAUUCAAUUGUCAGAGGUGAAAUUCUUGGAUUAUUGAAGACUAACUACUGCGAAAGCAUUUGCCAAGGAUGUUUUCAUUAAUCAAGAACGAAGUUAGGGGAUCGAAGACGAUCAGAUACCGUCGUAGUCUUAACCAUAAACUAUGCCGACUAGGGAUCGGAUGAUGUUAAUUUUUUCAAUGACUCAUUCGGCGCCUUAC